ensembl:snRNA U4 U4 spliceosomal RNA
AGCUUUGCGCAGUGGCAGUAUCAUAGCCAAUGAGGUUUAUCCGAGGCACGAUUAUUGCUAAUUGAAAAUCAUGAUCUCAGGUAGUUUCUCAAGCUAAUUAAAUACAAUAAAAUUAGUGCUACUAUUGAGAGAAAAAUGGCUUU